GCCUACAAAAGUUAUACGCAUUUUCACUUCAUCAUAUAAUUUUUAAACAAAACAUUUUUAAAGUUUAGUAAACGUGAUUAAAAAACUCUUAAAACUCAAAGUACCGCAAGGGAACCAUGAAAUAGAAAUGAAAUAAAAAUAAAGCACAAAAAAGUAGGGCUAAACCCCUGUACCUUUUGCAUCAUGGUUCAGCUAGUCUAAUCAAGCAAAACGAACUUACAGUUUGACCCCCCGAAGCUAAGUGAGCUACUUCAAAACAACUUUUUAGAGCUAACCCAACUCUGUCGCAAAAGAGUGGGAUGAUUUUUAAGUAGAGGUGACAAGCCUACCGAACUUAGUGAUAGCUGGUUACUUAAGAAACGGAUUUAAGUCCAACCGAGAGUUGCUUCUAAAAACCUUAAUUAAAAACUAAUCUCUCGAGUCACUCAAAUAAGGUACAGCCUAUUUGAAAAAGGAUACAGCCUAAAACAUAGGGUAAUAAUUUUCUUCCCUCUAAGUGGGCCUAAAAGCAGCCACCUCUCAAAAAGCGUUAAAGCCUAAUUCCAUUACUCUCUAAAUACCUCAAUUAAAUUAAAACCCACCACCCCUAUUAAGUAAUUUUAUACUUCUAUAAUAUUUAUAAUGCUGAUACUAGUAAUAAGAAUUAGACCUUCUCCACAAUGUAAGCCUAAACCAAAACGAACAAAUGCUGGAACCUAACGUACAUGAACUCACCGCAGUAACAAACUAAGAAAACCCUGCACCCACACCAAAUUAACCGUUAACCUUACACAAGAACAUUUCUGGAAAGAUAAAAAGAGUAUGAAGGAACUCGGCAAAUCACCAACCUCGCCUGUUUACCAAAAACAUCGCCUCCUGCAACCCAUAGGAGGUCCAGCCUGCCCAAUGACCUGUUGAAUGGCCGCGGUACCCUAACCGUGCGAAGGUAGCAUAAUCACUUGUUCAUUAAAUGUGGACUAGAAUGAACGGCAUCACGAGGGUUGUACUGUCUCCCUACUCCUAUCAAUGAAUCUACUUUCCCCGUGAAGAAUCGGGGAUAUUAAUAUAAGACGAGAAGACCCCAUGGAGCUUAAAACCUUUACCAAUUUUUAUAUUUACAUCCUCAAAUAUAGUAAAUUAUGGCUCCCUGGUUUUGGGUUGGGGCGACCAAGGGGAAAAAUAUAACCCCCAUGAUGGACAUAUUUUAAGAACCACACUUCAAAAAACCACUACUAUGGCAUCUCUUGAUCCAAAUCAUUUGAUCAACGAACCAAGUUACCCUGGGGAUAACAGCGCAAUCCAUUUCAAAAGCUCCUAUUGACAAAUGGGUUUACGACCUCGAUGUUGGAUCAGGGUAUCCCAGUGGUGCAACCGCUACUAACGGUUUGUUUGUUCAACAAUUAAAACCCU
rnacentral:rRNA from 1 species